AUACGGAGGGGGUUAGCGUUGUUCGGAAUUACUGGGCGUAAAGCGUACGUAGGCGGAUUGAUCAGUCAGAGGUGAAAUCCCAGGGCUCAACCCUGGAACUGCCUUUGAUACUGUCAGUCUUGAGUUCGAGAGAGGUGAGUGGGAUUCCGAGUGUAGAGGUGAAAUUCGUAGAUAUUCGGAGGAACACCAGUGGCGAAGGCGGCUCACUGGCUCGAUACUGACGCUGAGGUGCGAAAGCGUGGGGAGCAAACAGGAUUAGAUACCCGAGUAGUCC
rnacentral:rRNA from 1 species